rnacentral:lncRNA from 1 species
AUGAAAAGAAUAGACAAGAGAGACAAGUUUCCCAGCAGGAAGCUUGCUGACGAGCGGCUGGAGCCCUGGAGCGCAGGGGACAGAAUCCCACCCAAGCUCAGCAUUCGGUUGCGUUUUGCCCGGGGCAAGACCUGUGCUAAUACCAGAACGAUCCGCUGCUCUAAAGAACUUCAAACACUAAAGCGUACAUUAGGAAGCAUACGCGAUGCUCUCAGAUGCGUUUCUCAUGAUCAAAACUGCAGAGAUCCAGAGUUCAGUGGAGAUGCCAUGGGAGCUGAACUCCGUUUGCAGGCCCACCUUAGGGUAGAUGCUGUCUGCAAGGGCCCUGCCUCCUCUUGGGUUAUCAUCUUCCUCUGCUUCCUGCCUGCAGACCAAAGAAAACCCCAGGCACAGAAAAGUCCUGUGGGCAUGUGGCCUACAGUCAGACAGCUGCUGUUCAGGAUUUUUAAUGUAUUCACCACUCUCAGGACAAAAUCUUGAAAAGGGAAAGGUUUUUCUGAGUUUCCAUUAAAAUCUCUGAUGUGUACAACAGGGACACCAAAUAUUAUUUACUUUUGCUUGUUUUGUUUUGUUUUGUUUUGUUUCAGUGAUGCAUUUAGUUUCAUUUAAAGGAAAGAAGAGAAAGUGAAAAGUAAAAAAAAAAAUAAAAAGUACUGUGUUUGAUAAUUUCUCCA